AGUGAACGCUGGCGGUAGGCCUAACACAUGCAAGUCGAACGGCAGCACAGUAAGAGCUUGCUCUUACGGGUGGCGAGUGGCGGACGGGUGAGGAAUGCAUCGGAAUCUACUUUUUCGUGGGGGAUAACGUAGGGAAACUUACGCUAAUACCGCAUACGACCUACGGGUGAAAGCAGGGGAUCUUCGGACCUUGCGCGAUUGAAUGAGCCGAUGUCGGAUUAGCUAGUUGGCGGGGUAAAGGCCCACCAAGGCGACGAUCCGUAGCUGGUCUGAGAGGAUGAUCAGCCACACUGGAACUGAGACACGGUCCAGGCUCCUACGGGAGGCAGCAGUGGGGAAUAUUGGACAAUGGGCGCAAGCCUGAUCCAGCCAUACCGCGUGGGUGAAGAAGGCCUUCGGGUUGUAAAGCCCUUUUGUUGGGAAAGAAAAGCAGCAGGUUAAUACCCCGCUGUUCUGACGGUACCCAAAGAAUAAGCACCGGCUAACUUCGUG
rnacentral:rRNA from 1 species